ensembl:lncRNA
GGUUUUCUUUGACUUUUAGAGACACCAUCAAUAUACAAGUUAUAGCCUACUCCAUGACUGAUCUAUUGCACUACUAGGGCCUACUAUUAUUAUUCCAUUGUAUUAGCCUACUCAACAUUACAGACAACAAUCUGUUUUAUUUCCAGACAAAACUGAAGACCAGGAACUGGAACCUGGGAACCUGGAAGAUGAUGUUGUCCUGAAGGACACAAUUCAGGCAGCAGCAUGGUGCCAGUUACAGUCUUUCAAGGACAGCGUUUCUCUCCCAGAGGUCAUUGGGAUGGAAGGUUGGGAGCAGAUGGCAGCAUCAACACAGCGCAAAUCCCAUGACGGCGGGGAUGAGGAAGAAACGUGGAAACCAUUCCAAUUCUCAUUCAGAUUACAUACUGACUAUGAACUGUUCUGUGUGGAGAUGAUGGACAGGAGAAACCUGAAGGUUUUUGCCUCUUUUGAGUCAAACACAUCUCCCC